rnacentral:rRNA from 1 species
GUGCCUAAUACAUGCAAGUCGAACGAACGGAGGAAGAGCUUGCUCUUCCAAAGUUAGUGGCGGACGGGUGAGUAACACGUGGGCAACCUGCCUGUAAGUUGGGGAUAACUCCGGGAAACCGGGGCUAAUACCGAAUGAUAGAGUGUGGCGCAUGCCACGCUCUUGAAAGAUGGUUUCGGCUAUCGCUUACAGAUGGGCCCGCGGUGCAUUAGCUAGUUGGUAGGGUAAUGGCCUACCAAGGCAACGAUGCAUAGCCGACCUGAGAGGGUGAUCGGCCACACUGGGACUGAGACACGGCCCAGACUCCUACGGGAGGCAGCAGUAGGGAAUCUUCCGCAAUGGACGAAAGUCUGACGGAGCAACGCCGCGUGUAUGAAGAAGGUUUUCGGAUCGUAAAGUACUGUUGUUAGAGAAGAACAAGGAUAAGAGUAACUGCUUGUCCCUUGACGGUAUCUAACC